rnacentral:rRNA from 1 species
UAAAGGGCAUUUGGUGGAUGCCUUGGCGCGCAGAGGCGAUGAAGGACGUGGCACGCUGCGAAAAGCCUCGGGGAGCCGCGAGCAGGCUUUGAUCCGGGGAUCUCCGAAUGGGGCAACCCCCACCUUCGGGUGGAUCACUCUCUGAAUUCAUAGGGGAGUGAGGCGAACCCGGCGAACUGAAACAUCUCAGUAGCCGGAGGAAAGGACAUCAACCGAGACUCCGUUAGUAGUGACGAGCGAACGCGGACCAGGCCAGUGGCUUCAAAAAAAUAACUAAAACAACAUGGAAAGGUUGACCAUAGAAGGUGAUAGUCCCGUAUAGGUAAAAAGUUUGAAGUCCUUGAGUAAGGCGGGACACGUGAAAUCCUGUUUGAACAUAGGGGGACCACCCUCUAAGCCUAAGUACUCUCUAGUGACCGAUAGUGAACAAGUACCGUGAGGGAAAGGUGAAAAGUACCCCGGGAGGGGAGUGAAAUAGUACCUGAAACCGUGUGCCUACAAGCCGUGAGAGCCUUAUGCCGCUUCGGUG